GAUACCCUGCUGUGUUCGUGAUGCCGCACUAUCGGUUUUGAGCCAACACCUUAAAAAAGGGAACCAGUAUCCCAAUAGUAACGCGAUAGGCAACCAGCCAAGGCGGGUCUAUGGUCGAGGUUCCCACCUGCGAAAGCAGGUUCAAAACUUCGCAGCACACGGCAUGGUGGGGUACAU
rnacentral:other from 1 species